rnacentral:rRNA from 1 species
CCUACGGGCGGCAGCAGUGGGGAAUAUUGCACAAUGGGCGCAAGCCUGAUGCAGCCAUGCCGCGUGUGUGAAGAAGGCCUUCGGGUUGUAAAGCACUUUCAGCGGGGAGGAAGGCGGUGAGGUUAAUAACCUCAUCGAUUGACGUUACCCGCAGAAGAAGCACCGGCUAACUCCGUGCCAGCAGCCGCGGUAAUACGGAGGGUGCAAGCGUUAAUCGGAAUUACUGGGCGUAAAGCGCACGCAGGCGGUCUGUCAAGUCGGAUGUGAAAUCCCCGGGCUCAACCUGGGAACUGCAUUCGAAACUGGCAGGCUAGAGUCCUGUAGAGGGGGGUAGAAUUCCAGGUGUAGCGGUGAAAUGCGUAGAGAUCUGGAGGAAUACCGGUGGCGAAGGCGGCCCCCUGGACAAAGACUGACGCUCAGGUGCGAAAGCGUGGGGAGCAAACAGGAUUAGAUACCCGAGUAGUC